rnacentral:rRNA from 1 species
AUACGGAGGGUGCGAGCGUUAAUCGGAAUUACUGGGCGUAAAGCGUGCGUAGGCGGUUUGUUAAGUCAGAUGUGAAAGCCCUGGGCUCAACCUGGGAACUGCAUUUGAAACUGGCGGGCUAGAAUAUGGUAGAGGGAAGUGGAUUCCGGGUGUAGCGGUGAAAUGCGUAGAUAUCCGGAGGAACACCAGUGGCGAAGGCGGCUUCCUGGACCAAUAUUGACGCUGAGGUACGAAAGCGUGGGUAGCAAACAGGAUUAGAAACCCCAGUAGUCC